rnacentral:rRNA from 1 species
AGAGUUUUGAUCAUGGCUCAGGAUGAACGCUGGCGGCGUGCCUAACACAUGCAAGUCGAACGGGGUUAUAAGCAGCAGAGAUUUCGGUCAAAGCAGCAUAUAACUUAGUGGCGGACGGGUGAGUAACGCGUGGGGAACCUGCCCUGUACUGGGGGAUAACAGUGAGAAAUCGCUGCUAAUACCGCAUAAGCGCACAGCAUCGCAUGAUGCAGUGUGAAAAACUCCGGUGGUACAGGAUGGACCCGCGUUGGAUUAGCCAGUUGGCGGGGUAACGGCCCACCAAAGCGACGAUCCAUAGCCGGCCUGAGAGGGUGAACGGCCACAUUGGGACUGAGACACGGCCCAGACUCC